rnacentral:rRNA from 1 species
GAUGAACGCUGACAGAAUGCUUAACACAUGCAAGUCAACUUGAACUUCGGUUUGGGUGGCGGACGGGUGAGUAACGCGUAAAGAACUUGCCUCACAGCUAGGGACAACAUUUGGAAACGAAUGCUAAUACCUGAUAUUAUGAUUAUAUGGCAUCGUAUAAUUAUGAAAGCUAUAUGCGCUGUGAGAGAGCUUUGCGUCCCAUUAGCUAGUUGGAUAGGUAACAGCUCACCAAGGCGAUGAUGGGUAGCCGGCCUGAGAGGGUGAUCGGCCACAAGGGGACUGAGACACGGCCCUUACUCCUACGGGGGGCAGCAGUGGGGAAUAUUGGACAAUGGACCGAGAGUCUGAUCCAGCAAUUCUGUGUGCACGAUGAAGUUUUUCGGAAUGUAAAGUGCUUUCAGUUGGGAAGAAAAAAAUGACGGUACCAACAGAAGAAGUGACGGCUAAAUACGUG